GCCCUGUUAGCACAGUUGGUAGUGCGUAAGACUUCUAAAUUUUAAGAAGAUAUCAUCUUAAGGUCGCGGGUUCGAGCCCCGCAUGGGGUU